rnacentral:rRNA from 1 species
GGGAGCCGGCCACCUGGCCCGUCCCUGACGCUGAGGCGCGAAAGCGUGGGGAGCGAACCGGAUUAGAUACCCGGGUAGUCCACGCCCUAAACGAUGCGCACUAGGUAUGGGGGGCUGACCACGCUCUCCGUGCCGAAGCUAACGCGUUAAGUGCGCCGCCUGGGUAGUACGGCCGCAAGGGCUGAAACUCAAAGGGAAUUGGCGGGGGCCCGCACAAGCAGCGGAGCGUGUGGUUUAAUUCGAUGCAAAACGAAGAACCUUACCCGGGGCUUGACAUGCCGGUGGUACCGACCCGAAAGGGAAGGGGCCCCGCAAGGGGAGCCGGCACAGGUGCUGCAUGGCUGUCGUCAGCUCGUGCCGUGAGGUGUCGGGUUAAGUCCCGCAACGAGCGCAACCCCUGCCCCUAGUUACACGUGUCUAGGGGGACUGCCGGCGACAAGCCGGAGGAAGGUGGGGAUGACGUCAAGUCAGCAUGGCCUUGAUGCCCGGGGCUACACACACGCUACAAUGCCCGGUACAAUGGGUUGCCAACCCGCGAGGGGGAGCCAAUCCCAUCAAAGCCGGGCUCAGUUGGGAUUGCAGGCUGCAACCCGCCUGCAUGAACGCGGAGUUGCUAGUAACCGCCGGUCAGCCAUACGGCGGUGAAUACGUUCCCGGGCCUUGCACACACCGCCCGUCACGUCAUGGGAGUCGGCAACGCCUGAAGCCGGUGGCCCAACCCUCCCCCUCCCAGGGCCUCUC